GUGCUUCACCACGGGAGUAAAACCUUUGAAACGAAUUAUUCUCGCAAGAGCUGAGCAUAUGUUUUUUUUAUGUUUUACUUCUUUUGGCCCACAUAACUCAUUGCGUUGCUCAAGUCGAGGAAAGCGAUCCUGAGCGUGUCAUUAGGACGUACUUAAAUCAAACGGAACCAUCUCCAUUUUGAUAUGGGCCCUGUCGUCUACGUGUAUUCGGAUAUGAGUCUCAGGGCCCAGGUUUCAGUGGAAAUAGUCCCUUUUGCUUUUAAUAAAUUCAUUUUAAAUACCAUCACCUCAACCAAUACGUCUCGGACUAGAACAGUGACGGGAGUAAACCCCCAAAAAAUGAGGGAUUGUUUGAGUAGCAAAUGAUAGCCACGCUAUGAAACGAGCAUAUUUGAUUGCGUCAACGCUCAACGGGCGUCUACCAACUGGGCCGAUUAUCCGUGCCUACCAUUAAAAAUCAAUUUGGCCUGUUUAUCGCAAUUGUGCCCCCGGGUCGACCAUUGUCUCGUCGCGAGGAAAAUUCUACGCAAUUUUGAACGCUGAGUGUAUUGCGGGAUGUCAGGUAAGUUUGAUGACAUAGUCUUAUCAGUAAGCUCAAGGAAAAUUAAUUUUCUGAUAGAUUAGUCGCACUAUCAUGAGACUGGAAUCUGAUGGAAAAAGUAGGUGAGGGAAAAUAUUUUUACGACGAAAAUUGAGAACAAAGGUAUUUCGAAUGAACUUCAAUGCAAUGUUUUCUUCAAUGGAUCUUUACAGAAUAUUUGUGGUUACAGGAUCCCUGGUCACAUAUUACAUGAUCUACAGUAAAACUGGUAGCCAAUCCCAACUUUCUGACAUGGCCCUCCGCAUCUCGUUAACAUAACCAAAUACAUGAUUUUCUGGAUGCCAAACGGUACCGCUAAA